GUGGGCGUAGUUCAACGGUUAGAGCGUCGGGUUGUGGCCCCGAAGGCUGUGGGUUCGAAUCCCAUCGCUCACCCCA
rnacentral:tRNA from 1 species